AUUGAACGCUGGCGGCAGGCCUAACACAUGCAAGUCGAGCGAGCGGCGGACGGGUGAGUAAUGUCGGGGAAACUGCCUGAUGGAGGGGGAUAACUACCGGAAACGGUAGCUAAUAACGCAUACCAUCAGAUCUGCCCAGAUGGGAUUGGCUAGUAGGUGGGGUAACGGCUCACCUAGGCGACGAUCCCUAGCUGGUCUGAGAGGAUGACCAGCCACACUGGAACUGAGAGACGGUCGAGACUCCUACGGUGGGAAGCAGUGGGGAAUAUUGCACGAUGGGGGCAAGCCUGAUGCAGCCAGGCCGCGUGUGUGAAGAAGGCCUGCGGGUGGGAAAGCACUUUCAGCGGGGAGGCGUUACCCGCAGAAGAAGCACCGGCUAACUCCGUGCCAGCAGCCGCGGUAAUUC
rnacentral:rRNA from 1 species